CGCCCUUCCUACGGGAGGCAGCAGUGGGGAAUUUUGGACAAUGGGCGCAAGCCUGAUCCAGCCAUGCCGCGUGCUGGAAGAAGGCCUUCGGGUUGUAAACCGCUUUUGUCAGGGAAGAGAUCUUCUGGGUUAAUACCUCGGGAGGAUGAC
rnacentral:rRNA from 1 species